GCUCAGUACAGGUACUAUAAAAUGACUCUCAUGAAAGCCAAGUCCAUCUAGUCUAGAGGGGGUUCCAUGGUGUGCAUUCAGAAGGUAUCUUGGGACUAACUUCACUUCUAUGACCAUGGCUUUGAGAAGAGCACUGUCAAACGUCAACAUGAUUGUUCUGAGCACCUGUGAGGUGCUGGGAAUGGUAUAGACCCUUUGUGCACAUAUUAUUUCUCUCUCUCUCUCUCUCUCUCCUGGGGGGGGGGGCACUCUACAUGCAUGUGGAGGCCAAACACCAAAAAUUGACAUAGGUCCCUCCAUCACUCUCCAUCCUUUUUUUUUUUUUAAGGCAGGGUCUCUGUUGAAGGAAAUAUCUAAAAAGUAGAGCCGGCACACUCCCACAAUUGUGCCUCUGCCCUGGCAGCCUGGCUGGCCAUGCACUGUCGGGCAAAGGCUGACCUAUUUUAUCUCCUGGAGAUUCUCUGGCCUGGAGCUCCCAAAAUGUCUCCACCCAGCUCACUAUGCUCCCACUGUCAGGUUGCUACCAUGCCAACCUCGUGCUUCAACACCGCCCCCCCCCCCAGCCUUUGUGGUGCACAUCUGGCAAACCCAUGCUUUGCCACUGUACCUCUCUCUCUUGAACCCAGCUGAGCUCCUGCCUAAAAGAAAACGCAACACAGACUUAGUUCAGAAACAAUGGUAACUCAAUCUCCCCAGACACUAAACAGUAAAAUUUGAUAUUUUUAAAGGCUGGACUUAUUUGCUCUAUAGAGCAUGCAUAUAAACAUUGUUAUAUUGUGAUAUAUAUCCAAAAAUUGAAUGAUAAUUAUCCAGAAACUGACAAUUAUCCAUUUACUAUAGACAGAGAAAAAGUUCACAAUACACUGUGAAGUUAAAAGAGGGCAGGGCAGGACUGGAGAGAUGGCUAGUGACCAAGAGCACUGGCUGGUUUUUCAGAGGACCCAGGUUCAAUUCCCAGUACCCACAUGGCAGCUCACAAUCCUCUGACUUCAUCCCUAGUGUAUCUGAUGCCCUCUUCCCACCUCUGUGGGCACUAAAUGCACAUGGCACACAGACAUGAAUGCAGGCAAAACACCCAUACACAUAAAAUAAAAUACUAUUAGUUGGUUUCUACUCAUUUUUGAAUAAAUGAAAAAAUAUAAUUAUCAUUAAUUAUCACCAUAUGCUAUUUUUCCAGAAUAUUUACAAUAUUAUUUUUCUGUGACAGAUAUAUAUAUAUUGUUUUAUCCAGUUUUAAAGCAUUAGCAAAAUAUAAGAAAAUUUGAAAAGAAAAAAAAGAACAUUUGAGUGAAAUCCACUCUGUAUAUUAAAUUAAAAGAAUUUUUAAUUUUUUUAAAAUCCUGGCUUU
rnacentral:lncRNA from 1 species